AGCAGCAUGGCGCAGUCUGGAAGCGCGCGGGGCCCAUAUACGUGAUUCGCUCAAGUGUUUGCUGUAACCCCGAGGUCACUCGAUCGAAACGAGUUGCUGCUA